GACGAACGCUGGCGGCGUGCUUAACACAUGCAAGUCGAACGGUGAAGCGCCUUCCUUUUUGGUGGGUGUGGAUGAGUGGCGAACGGGUGAGUAACACGUGAGUAACCUGCCCCCUUCUUCUGGAUAACCGCAUGAAAGUGUGGCUAAUACGGGAUAUUCUGGGUCUGUCGCAUGAUGGGUCUGGGAAAGAUAUUGUUUCGGUGGGGGAUGGGCUCGCGGCCUAUCAGCUUGUUGGUGGGGUGAUGGCCUACCAAGGCGGUGACGGGUAGCCGGCCUGAGAGGGUGGACGGUCACACUGGGACUGAGACACGGCCCAGACUCCUACGGGAGGCAGCAGUGGGGAAUAUUGCACAAUGGGCGCAAGCCUGAUGCAGCGGCGCCGCGUGAGGGAUGGAGGCCUUCGGGUUGCGAACCUCUUUCGCCAGUGAAGCAGGCCUGCCUCGUUUGUGGGUGGGUUGACGGUAGCUGGAUAAGAAGCGCCGGCUAACUACGUG
rnacentral:rRNA from 1 species